GAUGAACGUUGGCGGCGUGGAUUAGGCAUGCAAGUCGAACGGUAUCAUCCUUUCGGGGGUGAGAGAGUGGCGAACUGGUGAGUAACACGUAGGUUAUCUACCCUCAAGACGGGGACAACCCAGGGAAACUUGGGCUAAUACCGGAUGUGAGCAACUUUUAGUUGUUUGAAAGGUGGCGUAAGCUGUCGCUUGGGGAUGAGCCUGCGUCCUAUUAGUUAGUUGGUGAGGUAACGGCUCACCUAGGCAAUGAUAGGUAGGCGGCCUUAACGGGUGGUCGCCCACACUGGGAUUGAGAUACGGCCCAGACUCCUACGGGAGGCAGCAGUCGAGAAUAGUCUACAAUGGUCGGAAGACUGAUAGUGCGACGCCGCGUGAACGAUGAAUCCCUUCGGGGUGUAAAGUUCUUUUAUAUGUGAGCAGUGCUUCUUAUAUUAACAGUAUGGGGAGAGAGAUAUUAGCAUAUGAAUAAGCAACGGCUAACUCCGUGCCAGCAGCCGCGGU
rnacentral:rRNA from 1 species